rnacentral:rRNA from 1 species
CCUACGGGAGGCAGCAGUGAGGAAUAUUGGUCAAUGGACGAGAGUCUGAACCAGCCAAGUAGCGUGAAGGAUGACUGCCCUAUGGGUUGUAAACUUCUUUUAUAAAGGAAUAAAACGAGGCACGUGUGCCUUUUUGCAUGUACUUUAUGAAUAAGGAUCGGCUAACUCCGUGCCAGCAGCCGCGGUAAUACGGAGGAUCCGAGCGUUAUCCGGAUUUAUUGGGUUUAAAGGGAGCGUAGAUGGGUUGUUAAGUCAGUUGUGAAAGUUUGCGGCUCAACCGUAAAAUUGCAAUUGAUACUGGCAGUCUUGAGUACCGUUGAGGGAGGCGGAAUUCGUGGUGGAGCGGUGAAAUGCUUAGAUAUCACGAAGAACCCCGAUUGCGAAGGCAGCCUACUAAACUGUGACUGACAUUGAUGCGCGAAAGUGUGGGUAUCAAACAGGAUUAGAUACCCCAGUAGUC